rnacentral:lncRNA from 1 species
UGGGUUUUUGUGCAUUGUUUGAUUUAUACUUUAAGACACGAUAGAGUCAUGCAUGAUAAGUUGUUUUUCAGAAAUUAUUAUUUUAGGUUGUCUCCUUGAAUUGAAGAAUUAUUUUAAAAUUUUAAAUUUGAGAGUUUGACAUCAAAACCAUAAUUUUUUUGAACUUUUGAACCUAUAGAGCAUAUAUUUAUUCGUGCUCAUUUUAUUUUUGGUUGUGAG